GACGAACGCUGGCGGCGUGCUUAACACAUGCAAGUCGAACGGUGAAAGUGGAGCUUGCUCCGCUGGAUCAGUGGCGAACGGGUGAGUAACACGUGGGCAACCUGCCCCAGACUUCGGGAUAACUCCUCGAAAGAGGUGCUAAUACCGGAUACGAAGCCCCCAGGCAUCUGGGGGCUUGGAAAGGUUUUCGGUCUGGGAUGGGCCCGCGGCCUAUCAGCUUGUUGGUGAGGUAACGGCUCACCAAGGCGACGACGGGGAGCCGGCCUGAGAGGGCGACCGGCCACACUGGGACUGAGACACGGCCCAGACUCCUACGGGAGGCAGCAGUGGGGAAUAUUGCGCAAUGGGCGAAAGCCUGACGCAGCAACGCCGCGUGAGGGAUGACGGCCUUCGGGUUGUAAACCUCUUUCAGCAGGGAAGAAGCGAAAGUGACGGUACCUGCAGAAGAAGCACCGGCUAACUACGUGCCAGCCGCCGCUGUAA
rnacentral:rRNA from 1 species